rnacentral:rRNA from 1 species
UACGUAGGUGGCGAGCGUUAUCCGGAAUGAUUGGGCGUAAAGGGUGCGCAGGCGGCCUGUUAAGUCAGCGGUAAAAGCCCGGGGCUCAACCCCGGCGAGCCGUUGAAACUGGCGGGCUGGAGUUGGAGAGAAGUACGCGGAAUGCGCGGUGUAGCGGUGAAAUGCAUAGAUAUCGCGCAGAACCCCGAUUGCGAAGGCAGCCUGCCGGCCCCACACUGACGCUGAGGCACGAAAGCGUGGGUAUCGAACAGG